rnacentral:rRNA from 1 species
AGAGUUUGAUCAUGGCUCAGGAUGAACGCUAGCGGCAGGCUUAAUACAUGCAAGUCGAGGGGCAGCAUGGUUGUAGCAAUACAACUGAUGGCGACCGGCAAACGGGUGCGGAACACGUACGCAACCUACCCAAAACUGGGGGAUAGCCCGGGGAAACCCGGAUUAAUACCUCGUACGAUUGAGAAGUGGCAUCACUUUUUGAUGAUAGCUCCGGCGGUUUUGGAUGGGCGUGCGCCUGAUUAGGUAGUUGGCGGGGUAAAGGCCCACCAAGCCUGCGAUCAGUAACUGGUGUGAGAGCACGACCAGUCACACGGGCACUGAGACACGGGCCCGACUCCUACGGGAGGCAGCAGUAAGGAAUAUUGGUCAAUGGACGCAAGUCUGAACCAGCCAUGCCGCGUGAAGGAUGAAGGUCCUCUGGAUUGUAAACUUCUUUUAUAGGGGACGAAACCCGGAUAUUCUUAUCCGAUUGACGGUACCCUGGGAAUAAGCACCGGCUAACUCCGUGCCAGCAGCCGCGGUAAUACGGAGGGUGCAAGCGUUAUCCGGAUUCACUGGGUUUAAAGGGUGCGUAGGAGGGCAGGUAAGUCAGUGGUGAAAUCUUCGAGCUUAACUCGGAAACUGCCGUUGAUACUAUCUGUCUUGAAUAUUGUGGAGGUGAGCGGAAUAUGUCAUGUAGCGGUGAAAUGCUUAGAUAUGACAUAGAACACCAAUUGCGAAGGCAGCUCGCUACACAUAUAUUGACUCUGAGGCACGAAAGCGUGGGGAUCAAACAGGAUUAGAUACCCUGGUAGUCCACGCCCUAAACGAUGGAUACUCGACAUACGCGAUACACUGUGUGUGUCUGAGCGAAAGCAUUAAGUAUCCCCACCUGGAAGUACGACCGCAAGGUUGAAACUC